GAUGAACGCUGGCGGCGUGCCUAAUACAUGCAAGUCGAGCGAACAGACGAGGAGCUUGCUCCUCUGACGUUAGCGGCGGACGGGUGAGUAACACGUGGAUAACCUACCUAUAAGACUGGGAUAACUUCGGGAAACCGGAGCUAAUACCGGAUAAUAUAUUGAACCGCAUGGUUCAAUAGUGAAAGACGGUUUUGCUGUCACUUAUAGAUGGAUCCGCGCCGCAUUAGCUAGUUGGUAAGGUAACGGCUUACCAAGGCAACGAUGCGUAGCCGACCUGAGAGGGGGAUCGGCCACCCAGGAACUGAAAACCGGCCCAGACCCCUACGGGAGGCAGAAGUAGGGAAUUUUCCGAAAUGGGGGAAAGCCUGACGGAGAAACGCCGGGGGAGUGAUGAAGGUCUUCGGAUCGUAAAACUCUUUUAUUAGGGAAGAAAAAAUGUGUAAGUAACUAUGCAGGUCUUGACGGUACCUAAGCAGAAAGCCACGGCUAACUACGU
rnacentral:rRNA from 1 species